AGAGUUUGAUCAUGGCUCAGGAUGAACGCUAGCGGCAGGCCUAACACAUGCAAGUCGAGGGGUAGAGGCAGCUUGCUGCUUUGAGACCGGCGCACGGGUGCGUAACGCGUAUGCAAUCUACCUUUUACUAAGGGAUAGCCCAGAGAAAUUUGGAUUAAUACCUUAUGGUAUGUUUGAAUGGCAUCGUUUAAGCAUUAAAGAUUUAUUGGUAAAAGAUGAGCAUGCGUCCCAUUAGUUAGUUGGUAAGGUAACGGCUUACCAAGACGAUGAUGGGUAGGGGUCCUGAGAGGGAGAUCCCCCACACUGGUACUGAGACACGGACCAGACUCCUACGGGAGGCAGCAGUGAGGAAUAUUGGUCAAUGGAGGCAACUCUGAACCAGCCAUGCCGCGUGCAGGAUGACGGUCCUAUGGAUUGUAAACUGCUUUUGUACAGGAAGAAAAAGUACCACGUGUGGUAUAUUGACGGUACUGUAAGAAUAAGGAUCGGCUAACUCCGUGCCAGCAGCCGCGGUAAUACGGAGGAUCCAAGCGUUAUCCGGAAUCAUUGGGUUUAAAGGGUCCGUAGGCGGCUUUAUAAGUCAGUGGUGAAAGUUUGCAGCUUAACUGUAAAAUUGCCAUUGAUACUGUAAGGCUUGAAUUUUUGUGAAGUAACUAGAAUAUGUAGUGUAGCGGUGAAAUGCUUAGAUAUUACAUGGAAUACCAAUUGCGAAGGCAGGUUACUAACAAACGAUUGACGCUGAUGGACGAAAGCGUGGGUAGCGAACAGGAUUAGAUACCCUGGUAGUCCACGCCGUAAACGAUGGAUACUAGUUGUUUGGCUGUAAGACUGAGUGACUAAGCGAAAGUGAUAAGUAUCCCACCUGGGGAGUACGAACGCAAGUUUGAAACUUAAAUGAAUUGACGG
rnacentral:rRNA from 1 species